CGGGAGUCUACAGCUGGAGACACAGAGAAAGAGGAUGAGGAUGAGGAUGAUGAAACGGUGUAGUUCACCAAUGGACAGAAAGUAAAGAGACAUUCUCAGAACUGCAUCUAUCCUGCUACAUUCAUUCACAGUGUAUUUUGUCUUCCUAAACUUAAAUCUGAAUGUCACCUGCACUCACCCACACACGCUCGGCGUAUGUUGGGCUUGUAGCCCUCAACACAUCUCUUAGAGCUGCACUUAUAGUGUCCGUAUGUGUUGGUGCACACCGGACGAGUGUGAGGACACACGGCUGGCAGACGCCUGCACUCGUUUACGUCUGAACAGGAUGAAGGAAAUGGAGACAGAAUCACACUCACAGACUGGGCGCUCCCUCACGAUUGCUUUAUUAGUAUUGCACACCAUUCCAAUUUUGAGUCAACAAGUUCUAAAAAAAAAAGGAAAUAAA